UACGGGGGAUGCAAGCGUUAUCCGGAAUCACUGGGCGUAAAGCGUCUGUAGGUGGUGAUGCAAGUCACUGGUGCAAAACUCUGGCUCAACCGGAGGAAAGCCAGUGAAACUGCAUGACUAGAGUGUGGGAGAGGUAGAAGGAAUUCCCUGAGUAGCGGUGAAAUGCGUAGAUACAGGGAAGAACACCGGAGGCGAAAGCGUUCUACUGGACCACAACUGACACUGAGAGCCGAAAGCUAGGGGAGCGAAUGGG
rnacentral:rRNA from 1 species